AGUGAACGCUGGCGGUAGGCCUAACACAUGCAAGUCGAACGGCGGCACAGUAAGAGCUUGCUCUUACGGGUGGCGAGUGGCGGACGGGUGAGGAAUACAUCGGAAUCUACUUUUUCGUGGGGGAUAACGUAGGGAAACUUACGCUAAUACCGCAUACGACCUACGGGUGAAAGCAGGGGAUCUUCGGACCUUGCGCGAUUGAAUGAGCCGAUGUCGGAUUAGCUAGUUGGCGGGGUAAAGGCCCACCAAGGCGACGAUCCGUAGCUGGUCUGAGAGGAUGAUCAGCCACACUGGAACUGAGACACGGUCCAGACUCCUACGGGAGGCAACAGUGGGGAAUAUUGGACAAUGGGCGCAAGCCUGAUCCAGCCAUACCGCGUGGGUGAAGAAGGCCUUCGGGUUGUAAAGCCCUUUUGUUGGGAAAGAAAAGCAGCAGGUUAAUACCCCGCUGUUCUGACGGUACCCAAAGAAUAAGCACCGGCUAACUUCGUG
rnacentral:rRNA from 1 species